rnacentral:rRNA from 1 species
UAGGGAAUCUUCCACAAUGGACGAAAGUACUGAUGGAGCAACGCCGCGUGUGUGAUGAAGGGUUUCGGCUCGUAAAACACUGUUGUAAGAGAAGAAUGACAUUGAGAGUAACUGUUCAAUGUGUGACGGUAUCUUACCAGAAAGGAACGGCUAAAUACGUGCCAC